UCCCUGGUGGCUCAGAUGGUAAAGCAUCUGUCUUCAGUGUGGGAGACCCAGGUUCGAUCCCUGAGUUUGGGAA
rnacentral:tRNA from 1 species